rnacentral:rRNA from 1 species
GACAGAGGGGGCAAGCGUUGCUCGGAAUCACUAGGCGUAAAGGGCGCGUAGGCGGGCUGGCAAGUCAGUCGUGAAAUCUCUCGGCUCAACCGAGAAACGUCGGCUGAUACUGCCGUUCUUGAGGGAUGCAGAGGAGACUGGAAUUCCCGGUGUAGCGGUGAAAUGUGUAGAGAUCGGGAGGAACACCGGUGGCGAAGGCGGGUCUCUGGGCAUUUCCUGACGCUGAGGCGCGAAAGCGUGGGGAGCAAACGGG